rnacentral:rRNA from 1 species
ACUGAAAUUUUUGAAGGGCCGCGGUAUUUUGACUGUGCAAAGGUAGCAUAAUCAUUAGUCUUUUAAUUGGAGGCUUGUAUGAAUGGUUGGAUGAGGUAUUAACUGUCUCAAUUUAAUAAAUAAAAGAAUUUUAUUUUUAAGUUAAAAAGCUUAAAUUUUAUUAAAAGACGAGAAGACCCUAUAGAUCUUUAUAGUUAAAUUUAUAAUAAUUUUUUAGAUUAAUUUUAUUUUUAUAAAUAUAAUUAUUAUAUUGGGGUGAUAAAAAAAUUUAUAAAACUUUUUUUGUAAAUUAACAAU